CCACAAUGGAUCUCAUUCAUUCAACCAAAUUACUUUCUCUCUCUAAACACCAACUUCUAGAGAGAGAAAUACAAUGUGUCCUUUACGCAUUAUUCUCAUCUUUCUGUCUGCAACUCUCGCCGGAUUCUUCGUUUUACGGAACCUCAAAUCUCAAUCAGAUGCUUCUGACGCCGCCGUUGAGGAUUCCACUUCAUUCUCCAAAUCAUCGUCGUCUUCAUGCGUUGAAAAGUCAUCACACAAGGUUUAUGGUGCUUUUGUGAACGGAUUUUGGACUUGUGUUGACAUGGCGAGUGGACGUUAUCUGUGGAGAAACCUAGUUUCUGUCUCCAAAAAGUCGGAUUAAUCUUCUGAAUUUGUGGAAACUUGGAGUGGAUGCGGGCUUCUUUUCUAUGUACAGGUUGGAAUUGAAGCCGAUAUGACCCUUGGGUUUGAUAAUCUUUUGUUGUAUUUCCGGACGAACGUAUACUCAUCAUAUAUAGGCUCUAUAAUAUCAUAAUCUUGAUUUUGUUAUGUAUGUCAUGUUCUAGCUUCUUUACUGUCGUUAGUCUUGAAGCUUUAAAGUGUAAAACGCUGUCGUUUGGAUGCUUAGGGUGUGUUUGUUUGAUAGGUUUGAGACUGGAGAAAUGUGAUUGAAUAUUGACAAUAAAAUUUGUUUGUUUGAUGGGUCA